CAUUUCUAAUAAAACAAUUCUUUUAUUCCUUUAGAAUGAAAAUCUAAUGUGCACUUUACACCAUAGAAAC
rnacentral:tRNA from 1 species